rfam:Camelus ferus unplaced genomic scaffold scaffold552, whole genome shotgun sequence.
GAAGGGAGAGCUCAGUGGUAGAGUGUGUGCUUAGCAUGCGUGAGGUCCUGGGUUCAAUCCCCAGUACCGCCA